rnacentral:rRNA from 1 species
AGCAGUCGCCGCGGUAAUACGUAGGGUGCGAGCGUUAAUCGGAAUUACUGGGUGUAAAGCGUGCGCAGGCGGUUCGUUAAGACAGAUGUGAAAUCCCCGGGCUUAACCUGGGAACUGCAUUUGUGACUGGCGAGCUAGAGUAUGGCAGAGGGGGGUAGAAUUCCACGUGUAGCAGUGAAAUGCGUAGAGAUGUGGAGGAAUACCGAUGGCGAAGGCAGCCCCCUGGGCCAAUACUGACGCUCAUGCACGAAAGCGUGGGGAGCAAACAGGAUUAGAUACCCGCGUAGUCCCUGUCUCUUAUAC